UACGGAGGAUCCAAGCGUUAUCCGGAUUUAUUGGGUUUAAAGGGUGCGUAGGCGGAAUAGUAAGUCAGUGGUGAAAUCCUGCAGCUUAACUGUAGAAUUGCCAUUGAUACUGCUAAUCUUGAGUAUAAUUGAAGUGGGCGGAAUGUGUCAUGUAGCGGUGAAAUGCUUAGAUAUGACACAGAACACCGAUUGCGAAGGCAGCUCACUAAACUAUAACUGACGCUGAGGCACGAAAGCGUGGGGAUCAAACAGG
rnacentral:rRNA from 1 species